rnacentral:rRNA from 1 species
AACGAACGCUGGCGGCAUGCCUAACACAUGCAAGUCGAACGAGACCUUCGGGUCUAGUGGCGCACGGGUGCGUAACGCGUGGGAACCUGCCCUUAGGUUCGGAAUAACUCCCCGAAAGGGGUGCUAAUACCGGAUAAUGUCUUCGGACCAAAGAUUUAUCGCCUUUGGAUGGGCCCGCGUUGGAUUAGCUAGUUGGUAGGGUAAAAGCCUACCAAGGCGACGAUCCAUAGCUGGUCUGAGAGGAUGAUCAGCCACACUGGGACUGAGACACGGCCCAGAGGCGAAGGGGGGGCAGCAGGGGGAAAGGUUAGACAACGGGAAAAAGCGUGCUGCAGCAAGGAUGGGUGAGAGAAGAAGGCUUGAGUGGUGUAAUUCUUUUUAACCGGGAAUGAUAAUGACGGGACGGGAAGAAUACGCCCCGGAUACCCCCGGGCCAGCAGCCGCGGAAAUAAUGGGAACAGCACCCGCCUGACC